rnacentral:rRNA from 1 species
GGGAGCGAACAGGAUUAGAUACCCUGGUAGUCCAUGCCGUAAACGUUGGGCACUAGGUGUGGGGGACAUUCCACGUUUUCCGCGCCGUAGCUAACGCAUUAAGUGCCCCGCCUGGGGAGUACGGCCGCAAGGCUAAAACUCAAAGGAAUUGACGGGGGCCCGCACAAGCGGCGGAGCAUGCGGAUUAAUUCGAUGCAACGCGAAGAACCUUACCAAGGCUUGACAUGAACCGGUAAUACCUGGAAACAGGUGCCCCGCUUGCGGUCGGUUUACAGGUGGUGCAUGGUUGUCGUCAGCUCGUGUCGUGAGAUGUUGGGUUAAGUCCCGCAACGAGCGCAACCCUCGUUCUAUGUUGCCAGCGCGUUAUGGCGGGGACUCAUAGGAGACUGCCGGGGUCAACUCGGAGGAAGGUGGGGACGACGUCAAAUCAUCAUGCCCCUUAUGUCUUGGGCUUCACGCAUGCUACAAUGGCCGGUACAAAGGGUUGCGAUACUGUGAGGUGGAGCUAAUCCCAAAAAGCCGGUCUCAGUUCGGAUUGGGGUCUGCAACUCGACCCCAUGAAGUCGGAGUCGCUAGUAAUCGCAGAUCAGCAACGCUGCGGUGAAUACGUUCCCGGGCCUUGUACACACCGCCCGUCAAGUCACGAAAGUUGGUAACACCCGAAGCCGGUGG